rnacentral:rRNA from 1 species
UACGUAGGGGCCAAGCGUUGUCCGGAUUUAUUGGGCGUAAAGAGCUCGUAGGCGGUUGGGUAAGUCGGGGGUGAAAACUCCAGGCUCAACUUGGAGAGGCCACCCGAUACUGCUCUGACUUGAGUUCGGUAGGGGAGUGGGGAAUUCCUGGUGUAGCGGUGAAAUGCGCAGAUAUCAGGAGGAACACCGGUGGCGAAGGCGCCACUCUGGGCCGAAACUGACGCUGAGGAGCGAAAGCGUGGGUAGCAAACAGG